rnacentral:rRNA from 1 species
CCUACGGGGUGCAGCAGUGGGGAAUAUUGGACAAUGGGCGAAAGCCUGAUCCAGCCAUGCCGCGUGUGUGAAGAAGGCCUUCGGGUUGUAAAGCACUUUCAGUGGGGAAGAAAGCCUUGGGGCUAAUACCCUCGAGGAAGGACAUCACCCACAGAAGAAGCACCGGCUAACUCCGUGCCAGCAGCCGCGGUAAUACGGAGGGUGCGAGCGUUAAUCGGAAUUACUGGGCGUAAAGCGCGCGUAGGCGGUCUGAUAAGCCGGUUGUGAAAGCCCCGGGCUCAACCUGGGAACGGCAUCCGGAACUGUCAGGCUAGAGUGCAGGAGAGGAAGGUAGAAUUCCCGGUGUAGCGGUGAAAUGCGUAGAGAUCGGGAGGAGUACCAGUGGCGAAGGCGGCCUUCUGGACUGACACUGACGCUGAGGUGCGAAAGCGUGGGUAGCAAACAGGAUUAGAUACCCCAGUAGUC